GAUGAAGAACGUAGCGAAAUGCGAUAAGUAAUGUGAAUUGCAGAAUUCAGUGAAUCAUCGAAUCUUUGAACGCACAUUGCGCCCGCCAGUAUUCUGGCGGGCAUGCCUGUCCGAGCGUCAUUUCAACCCUCGAACCCCUCCGGGGGGUCGGCGUUGGGGAUCGGGAACCCCUAAGACGGGAUCCCGGCCCCGAAAUACAGUGGCGGUCUCGCCGCAGCCUCUCCUGCGCAGUAGUUAGCACAACUCGCACCGGGAGCGCGGCGCGUCCACGUCCGUAAAACACCCAACUUUCUGAAAUGUUGACCUCGGAUCAGGUAGGAAUACCCGCUGAACUUAAGCAUAUCAAUAAGCGGAGGA
rnacentral:misc_RNA from 1 species